GAGCUCAUAUCUUUGGCAGCUGUAAAGUUUCUGCUCCUUCAAAGUUCACAACACAAUGAAUGAAUUCCUAAAACACUCUCAAUGCUGGAGAGCGUUUGAUGCUGAAGCAGUGAUCAGUUUUUCUGUUUCUUCUCUGGAGAUGCACAAUGAGGGACGUCUGCAGAGACUGAGAAAGAGUCUCACCACAUCCUGACAUGAGGAAAAAGACUUUAUUGAAGACUACAAUGAGAAAAACUAUCAGACAGCAGACGGCUGCAUUCAAGUCUGUAGCUGCUGAAUUCAUGGAUGAAUCAUCUGGCACUAGAGAAGAAGACCAUCAAACAUCCAUGUCAGCUGAUGGAGGUCCAAGAGUCUCACCCAACAAACAACCUACAGAGUGAAGACCUCAAAUCUGAUUGGACGGCCUCCUAUUCAGCCACAUUUUAGGCUGUUAGAUUGUUCCAGAUAAGACAAGUCCAAGAUUCUUCAGAGCCAUUCUACCACGAGCCUGACAGGAAGAACUCCAACAGCUACUGAAUGUUCCUGUGGUUCCCUCAAGGCUACAGGAGGAGUCCUACGAGGACGAGCCGGUCCACCUGAUGGAGGCCAGUCGCU
ensembl:lncRNA